rnacentral:misc_RNA from 1 species
UCCGGCUUAUCACCGGCAGUCCCACUAGAGUGCCCAACUUAAUGAUGGCAACUAAUGGCAAGGGUUGCGCUCGUUGCGGGACUUAACCCAACAUCUCACGACACGAGCUGACGACAGCCAUGCAGCACCUGUCACGGGCCCUUACGGACACUGUAUUUCUACAGCUUUUCGCGUGAUGUCAAACCCAGGUAAGGUUCUUCGGGUUGCAUCGAAUUAAGCCGCAUGCUCCGCCGCUCGUGCGGGGACCCGUCAAUUCCUUUGAGUUUUAGCCUUGCGGCCGUACUCCCCAGGCGGGGCACUUAAUGCGUUAGCUUCGGCACAGAAGGAGUCGACACCUCCCACACCUAGUGCCCAUCGUUUACGGCGUGGACUAC